CUAGCGACUUCAGAGUUUGAUCCUGGCUCAGGAUGAACGCUAGCGGCAGGCUUAACACAUGCAAGUCGAGGGGCAGCGUGAAGAAGUAGCAAUACGGAUUUGACGGCGACCGGCGCACGGGUGCGUAACGCGUAUGUAACCUACCUUUAACAGGGGGAUAACACUGAGAAAUUGGUACUAAUACCCCAUAAUACUUUAGGAGGCAUCUCCUUUGGUUGAAAGUUCCGGCGGUUAAAGAUGGACAUGCGUUGUAUUAGCUAGAUGGUGAGGUAACGGCUCACCAUGGCGACGAUACAUAGGGGGACUGAGAGGUUAACCCCCCACACUGGUACUGAGACACGGACCAG
rnacentral:rRNA from 1 species